AUCUGGCUCCAAUAUGCCCAAAUAUCAAAGAGAAAUUAAAAAUGCACACCAUGGAAGAGUUCGGGUCUUAGGAGGUUAAACUAAAAUUAUUUUCAGACUUCUCUGGGAUUGUUUUAUAUUAUUAUUAUGUGCUAUUAUAUUAUUUCUAUGCUUAAAUUUAUAAAGACAUGUUUAGAUUUCACUGAUAUCGCACAGUAAUGCCUAUAUUAUUAGCAGAGAGUAUUUCAGUGCGCAUCAACAUUUAAACUUCAAAACAUCUUCUGCUCUAUAGGCUACUUAACAAAUUAUGUACAUAUACAUGUUUUAUAACCACUUUUUUAUUUAUGUAUAUUCAUUCUGCAGGUUUGAGUUUGAGUUAUGGCGGGUCAAACCCUAUUGUUUUUGCUGCUUUUGGUGAUUAUAGGUCAUGUGAGUCCUCAGACAACAAGUGUGACACCAGCAGGUCCUGUGACAUCAGGCCAUGUGAGUCCUCAGACAACAAG